AGGGCGAACGCUGGCGGCGUGCUUAACACAUGCAAGUCGAGCGGUAAGGCCUUUCGGGGUACACGAGCGGCGAACGGGUGAGUAACACGUGGGUGAUCUGCCCUGCACUUCGGGAUAAGCCUGGGAAACUGGGUCUAAUACCGGAUAUGACCUCAGGUUGCAUGACUUGGGGGUGGAAAGAUUUAUCGGUGCAGGAUGGGCCCGCGGCCUAUCAGCUUGGUUGGUGGGUAAUGGCCUACCAAGGCGACGACGGGUAGCCGACCUGAGAGGGUGACCGGCCACACUGGGACUGAGACACGGCCCAGACUCCUACGGGAGGCAGCAGUGGGGAAUAUUGCACAAUGGGCGAAAGCCUGAUGCAGCGAACGCCGCGUGGAGGAUGACGGCCGUUCGGGUUAGUAAACCCUCGUUUCCGAGCAGGGACGUAAGCGCGAAGUGACGGUACC
rnacentral:rRNA from 1 species